ACGGCUACCUUGUUACGACUUCACCCCAAUUAUCAAGCCCACCUUCGGCCGCGUCCUCCUUGCGGUUAGACUACGGACUUCGGGUGUUCCCGACUCUCAUGGUGUGACGGGCGGUGUGUACAAGGCCCGGGAACGUAUUCACCGCGGCAUGCUGAUCCGCGAUUACUAGCAAUUCCGACUUCGUGCAGUCGAGUUGCAGACUGCAGUCCGAACUGGGACACUUUUUGGGGAUUUGCUCCACCUCGCGGCUUUGCUUCCCUUUGUUAAGUGCCAUUGUAUUACGUGUGUAGCCCAGGAUAUAAGGGGCAUGAUGAUUUGACGUCGUCCCCACCUUCCUCCGUUUUGUCAACGGCAGUCUCGCUAGAGUGCUCUUGCGUAGCAACUAACAAUAAGGGUUGCGCUCGUUGCGGGACUUAACCCAACAUCUCACGACACGAGCUGACGACAACCAUGCACCACCUGUCACCGGUGUCCCCGAAGGGAAAACCAUAUCUCUAUGGCGGUCACCGGGAUGUCAAACCCUGGUAAGGUUCUUCGCGUUGCUUCGAAUUAAACACAUAAUCCACUGCUUGUGCGGGCCCCCG
rnacentral:rRNA from 1 species